ensembl:lncRNA
CGGAGAUACAGCUUCACACACAAGGCUCUCUGCACAGCCACAACAACAUUGGUGAGUGUGGAUGUGUGGGUGGUGGAGGCCCGUAGGGAGGAGGUAGGUGGGGGCGUGGCUCUCGGGACACGAGGAAUGAGACGGGUGAUUUAGUGGCAGCUGUUGUCAAUGUACGAUAUCAUCUUCUUGUUGAAAUACGGCUGCGUCGAGUCUGUUUGUAUAACAGUAACAGGAGCCCUGCUGCUCUGAAUCCUGUGCCUGCUUGCUCCAUUAGAGUUAGUUUACGGGUGGUACAAUGGGACUUCUCUGUGUCAGCAGAGUGGUUAGGGUUCGAACCCUUAUCACCGCAGUCUACAUGUAGGCUUUGAGCAAGAUACCUAACCCCCACCAGGCCCUUAAUACUAUGUAUCUAUAAAAGAUUAAUAAAGUCAUAAAUCGUCAGCUCAAUUGUAAAUAGUAUAAUUUCUUAGAGCAGUAUUGGUUGGUGGUCGGUUGCGUCGCAGGUCAUUCUGUAACUUUUCAGUCAAUCCCGGGUUAUGCAUGCAGUGCACGUGUAUAACCUGUAGAGGGAGUCCUCCACAAUGCAAAACCAUCUGAAAGUGGUGUCGGGACUUGGUUCUCCUUUAAGACCUGCAGCCACUGGUCUGUGUGGGUUAGACUGUGAGGCAGACAGUUACCUUGGAGAACUUGAUCAUGUCAGAUGGCUCUCUGGGAGACAUGGUCUUGCCCCUGCUCUUCAGGGAGUCACUGAGAGGCACAUAAGGGCUGUUAAGUGUCGCAGUAAAUAGAAUUAAACAGGAUGUUUGGGUGUGGGUGUGUAUGAUAAUGUGUAUGUGCAAAUGUGUGUUUGUGUGUGCACGUGUAUGCAUGUGUUUGUAUUUGUACGUGUAUGUGCGUGUGUGUGUGUGUGUGUGUGUGUGUGUGUGUGUGUGUGUGUGUGUGUGUGUGUGUGUGUGUGUGUGUGUGAGUGUGGGUAACUGAGUGCAUAUGUGUUUGCACGUGUGUAUCUCUUUAUGUGUAUGCUUGUGUUGCUGUGUGUAUUUGUCUCUACGCCUGUGUGUGUGUGUUGGUUUGUGUGACUGUGUGUUUGUGUGUUAGUGUUUUUGCUUGCAGUGGUCUACCUCUUUCCUGGCGUGCCCUGUCUGAAGAAGUUCUUGGCGAACUCAACCAUGUCAUAUUUGCUGUCUUGCAGGAGACUAUCGUACGUAUCUCCCUCGCCACGGAGAUCAAACUCCUCAAGUGACACCCUCUGAAAUUGAAAAAUAAACACACCGGAAAGGAAACUCUGAGUAAAGUUUGCCGCAUUUAGGCUGUAUGUGUGUUAAUGUUGUGUGUGUGUAUGUGUGUAUUUGUCUGUGUGUGUGUGUGUGUGUGUGUGUUGUGUAAGUGUUCUUUUUUUUUGUGUAUGUAUGUAUGUGUGUAUGGCUAUUAGACGCAGUCAUUACGUUUGCAGCACCUCUAGACCUGAUCAAUGUGUGUGUGUGUGUGCGUGUGUGUGUGUGUUUGUGUGUUUGUCUGUAAGUGUCAGUGAGUUUUGUUUUUGUGUGUAUGUGUUGUAUGUCUAUGAGCGUGUGUAUGUGUGUAUGGCUAUUAGACGCAGUCAUUACGUUUGCAGUACCUCUAAAACCUGAUCAAUGUGUGUGUGUGUGUGUGUGUGUGUGUGUGUGUGUGUGUGUGUGUGUGUGUGUGUGUGUGUGUGUGUGUGUGUGUGUGUGUGUGUGUGUGUGUGUGUGUGUGUAUGUGUGUGUUUGUGGGUUUGUCUGUAAGUGUCAGUGAGUUUUGUUUUUGUGUGUAUGUGUUGUAUGUCUAUGAGUGUGUGAAAGUGUGUAUGGCUAUUACAUCCGGUCAUUACGUUGGCAGCAUCUCUAAGACCGUGUCAAUGUGUGUGUAUGUGUGUGAGUGACUGCGUGAGUGCAUGAGUGAGUGAGUGAGUGAGACAGUGAGUGAGUGAGUGAGUGAGUGAGUGAGUGAGUGAGUGAGUGAGAGAGUGAGUGAGUGAGUGAGUGAGUGAGUGAGUGAGUGAGUGGUGGUGUGAGUGAGUGAGUGAGUGAGUGAGUGAGUGAGUGAGUGAGACAGUGAGUGAGUGAGUGAGUGAGUGCGUGAGUGAGUGAGUGAGUGAGUGAGUGCAUGAGUGAGUGAGUGAGUGAGUGAGUAUGGCUAUUACAUCCAAUCAUUAUGAUUGCAGUAUCUCUAAGAUGGUGUCAAUGUGUGUGUGUGUGUGUGUGUGUGUGUGCGUGCGUGCGUGCGUGCGUAUCACCUCUAACGUCGGGUCUAUCUCAUGGGCGGCCAUGGUGGACGCCACGGCGACGGCCACGGCCGACGACACGGCGAACUGCCCCGCCCCUCCCCGGGGUUCCGCCGUGCGGUUCAGCGGGACGGACAGGAAGUCGGGCGCGGCCACGGGGCGGACGCACUCCACGGGGAAGGCCGCGGAGCGGCCGUGCACCGCGCCGAACUUCCACCCUGGAGCGCCAAACACGAGUCACGUGAUCCACGCAAAACACACGUCAUGGGAAGGCCUCGUUCCUACCCAGGGGUCUUCAGUCAAGACUGUCACACCGCAGUGCAGUCAUACCAGGCAUGACAGCAUCAUGUGUAGUCAUUGAAGGAAGCCCACGUUUGAUUACAGAUCAUCCACCACUGCUCCAGUGCUGCCAUGGUUCAAAAUGAUCUCCAAGAGGGACCCUGUUGGCUGAUGAUAAAACUAUCUACAGUCUAACUAUCUAUACCUACAGUCUGCUCGACGUAGCUAGAUACCAAUGGAUACCUCUUCAAAGGACGUUAUCUUUUAUUUAAAACAAGAAGGGAUGAACUACUUAAGAUGAUGCAAACAUUUGUUCUGACUUUUGAAUGAGUUGAGUGAUGGUAUUUCCACAAGGUGUUGACGAAUGAUCGACACCUUGACAUGAGCUGAUCACAUGUCAGGGUUAUGCCUAUCAUCAUAUGUGAUCAUCUCAUGUCAUGAUAUCAUGUCAUGAUAGGACCUAUCAUGACGUGAUAGUUCACCUGGCCAUGUGUUAAUACAAGGUGUAGCCACAUCCUUCAUGUGUCCUGUUCCUUAUAUUUGUUUAAUAUAUUUACAUUGAACAAAUAGGUACAUUAGUCUUUGAGUGACGCAUUCAAGUCGAAGAUAUUAUGCAAACAAAUACAACUGUGCAAACAUUACACUAAUGCAAGGAGGGAUAAGAUGUUGUAAGGAAAUUGUUUUUAACGUUGAAUUGGCCAUAUAGUGAUUUGGAUUGAAUGGAUGUGUACCUUGUUCCAACUUACCCAAAGAAGACCAUUUAUAACUUUAACUCUUUAGAAAAGCUAUACUUUAAUCUAGUAUCCCUGAGUGCAUAUGUAAGAAAUACAACAUUUAUUGGAUUGGAAUAUAAUGGACGACAGAGCCGGUGAUUCAGCGGUUGAUUAACUCCUCCUAAGUUCAUUAUUUCCCAAUAACGUGACACCCCGGAGUGGUUUAUUCCACUAACACCGCAGUCACCAGCAGUGAUAAGACAUUAGUGCCUUUCAUCUAUAACGUUAUUGGUUUUCUAUCGACUUAAUGAGCUGAAAUUAAAAUAUUCUUCUGCCGUGCUGUGAGAAUAUAGUAUAUGCUUUGUCGAGAAGACAAAGGAUGGUUUUAUCUCAGUGUAGUUGUGAAUGUGUUAGGGUAAUGCACACACCCAAAACAUUAUCAGGAUCAAGUAUUUAACAAAACUGUAUGCAUCUGUUCCUAGCAAUCGUCUGUGACCCCAAAAUAACAAGAAAUCCACCUCAUACUCACCAAACUCCUGAGUAUCUCUCUUCAUUUCCUCCAGGAACACCACCUUCUUCCUCACCACACAUCCAUAGCUGAACCCUGGAGCAAACAAACACACACACAAACACAAACACACUCGCUGAUAUACAGUACAUACACAUGCUCGGCAGGCCGUGAAACACAGCCCUGGCCUCCUGGCUAACGGAGCGCGAGAAGGCGUCACGCUCCUCAGGCCUCGCGCCGCCUCACCCUUCUCCAGGCCGUCCAUCACUUGCACCCUGAUGAUGUCGCCUUUGUGGAAACUGAGGCGCGAGUGAUCGUCCGUCACGAAGUUCCUCUCAGCUAUCACGUAGUCCGAGUCCUGGAGGAAGGGGAGGAGAUGGAAUGAGAACGAAGGGAGGGAGUGGGAUGCUUCAGUGGACACUGGAGGGCCUCACGGGUCACCGUCCGUCGAGCGCUGCACAGGCGUCUCGGUUUAUCCUGAGGGCGGCGAGCGUGCACCUGCUUGAUCUCGGUGAUGAAGGUGUCGAUGAGGUGCUUGACCUGCGGGGCCUUGGCUGAGAACAGGAUCAGCUUCUCGUUGGUCAGGUUGAACUCCAGCAUGUUCUCCGAGGGGAUGGUGACGAACAGGAUGUCUGCGUAGCUGCGCGAGAGAAGAGAGGGAGAACCGAGCAACAUCGUAUGAGUGCGGAUCUGUGGGGACGUGGGGGCUUGAGGAUGGACUUGUGUUUAGGGAGUUCGACUCCAUGUGGAAAGGCACUGGGUUUGAUCCCCAAUGUCAGCCUAACUUUUACCUGCUCCUUCAUAGGAGUCGAUUUCAGUAUAAGCAGCCUCGGAUGAAAGAUUCAGCAAUAAUAUGGAUUAUUACCC